UCACUUGUUUCUGUCUGAUCGCUUGUUUCUGUCUGUUUGAUUGUUUCUGUCUGUUCGAUUGUUUCUGUCUGUUUGAUUGUUUCUGUCUGUUCGAUUGUUUCUGUCUGAUGUUUUGUUUUCGUGGACAAGUCGUUGAGAUGAAGUAGAAUGUGUCAAAGUAUCGAUCUGAAGCUGUUUCCAUUUUUCAAAAAUCACAAACUUUACUGGCGGCCAUUUUCAAAGACGAACAACGUUGUUUUCUUUCAUGAAGAAACAGAAUUCGUCGUCACGUGAACUUUGUCUCGUUUUUCGAUCUGAUGAAUCUGUUCAUGUCGAUCACGAUGUUUGUUCCGGAGGAAGCGACGAGUAGAAACGUUCAGUCGAGUGUCGCUUGUUUAGAUGAUGAUGUUGUCACUGUACCUCCGUGUCAUGACCUCUGACCAUUUUGUAUACAAACAGAAAUCUUUCUGUCUGAAGGAAUAUUAAUGAGGCUCCAGAUUUAUUACCAUUAAAAACUUACACCACAAAA